rnacentral:tRNA from 1 species
GCUGUGGUAGUGUAGUGGUUAUCAUUCUAGCCUUCCAUUCAAUAGAAAGCUUGAGACCGGCGUUCGAUUCGCCGUCACAGCA